rnacentral:rRNA from 1 species
UACGUAGGGCGCAAGCGUUGUCCGGAAUUAUUGGGCGUAAAGAGCUCGUAGGCGGCUUGUCGCGUCGAAUGUGAAAUCCCGUGGCUCAAUCGUGGCGGUCUGAUUCGAUACGGGCAGGCUAGAGUUCGGUAGGGGAGACUGGAAUUCCUGGUGUAGCGGUGAAAUGCGCAGAUAUCAGGAGGAACACCGGUGGCGAAGGCGGGUCUCUGGGCCGAUACUGACGCUGAGGAGCGAAAGCGUGGGGAGCGAACAGG